rnacentral:rRNA from 1 species
UACGAAGGUGGCAAGCGUUGUUCGGAUUUACUGGGCGUACAGGGAGCGUAGGCGGUUGGAUAAGCCCUCCGUGAAAUCUCCAGGCUUAACCUGGAAAGUGCAGAGGGGACUGUUCAGCUAGAGGAUGGGAGAGGAGCGCGGAAUUCCCGGUGUAGUGGUGAAAUGCGUAGAUAUCGGGAGGAACACCAGUGGCGAAGGCGGCUUUCUGGCCUGUUCUUGACGCUGAGGCGCGAAAGCUAGGGGAGCAAACGGGG